rnacentral:rRNA from 1 species
GUAGGUGGCAAGCGUUGUCCGGAAUUAUUGGGCGUAAAACGCGCGCAGGUGGGUUCUUUAAGUCUGAUGUGAAAGCCCCCGGGCUCAACCGGGGAGGGUCAUUGGAAACUGGGGAACUUGAGUGCAGGAGAGGAAAGUGGAAUUCCACGUGUAGCGGUGAAAUGCGUAGAUAUGUGGAGGAACACCAGUGGCGAAGGCGACUUUCUGGCCUGUAACUGACACUGAGGCGCGAAAGCGUGGGGAGCAAACAGGAUUAGAUACCCUGGUAGUCCACGCCGUAAACGAUGAGUGCUAAAUGUUGGGGGGUUUCCGCCCCUCAGUGCUGCAGCUAACGCAUUAAGCACUCCGCCUGGGGAGUACGGUCGCAAGACUG